rnacentral:rRNA from 1 species
AAAUUGAAGAGUUUGAUCAUGGCUCAGAUUGAACGCUGGCGGCAGGCCUAACACAUGCAAGUCGAACGGUAACAGGAAGCAGCUUGCUGCUUYGCUGACGAGUGGCGGACGGGUGAGUAAUGUCUGGGAAACUGCCUGAUGGAGGGGGAUAACUACUGGAAACGGUGGCUAAUACCGCAUAACGUCGCAAGACCAAA